rnacentral:rRNA from 1 species
UACGUAGGUGGCAAGCGUUGUCCGGAUUUACUGGGCGUAAAGGGCGCGCAGGCGGCAGACCAAGUCAGGCGUGAAAGCCCCGGGCUUAACCUGGGAAUGGCAUUGGAAACUGGCGGGCUUGAGUGCGGCAGAGGGGGGUGGAAUUCCGCGUGUAGCAGUGAAAUGCGUAGAGAUGCGGAGGAACACCGAUGGCGAAGGCAGCCCCCUGGGUCGACACUGACGCUCAGGCACGAAAGCGUGGGGAGCAAACAGG